rnacentral:rRNA from 2 species
AGCAGCCGCGGUAAUUCCAGCUCCAAUAGCGUAUAUUAAAGUUGUUGCAGUUAAAAAGCUCGUAGUUGAAUUUCGAGAUCAGUACGCUGGUCGUGCCUUCGGUAUGCACUGGUGUCACUGGUUUCUCCCUUCUGAAGAACCGUCAUGCCAUUCAGUUGGUGUGGCGGGGAAUCAGGACUGUUACUUUGAAAAAUUAGAGUGUUUAAAGCAGGCUCGCGCUUGAAUACAUUAGCAUGGAAUAAUGAAAUAGGACGUUUGACCCUAUUUUGUUGGUUUCUAGGAUCGACGUAAUGAUUAAUAGGGAUAGUUGGGGGCAUUAGUAUUCAAUUGUCAGAGGUGAAAUUCUUGGAUUUAUUGAAGACUAACUACUGCGAAAGCAUUUGCCAAGGAUGUUUUCAUUAAUCAAGAACGAAAGUUAGGGGAUCGAAGACGAUCAGAUACCGUCGUAGU